UACGUAGGGGGCAAGCGUUGUCCGGAAUCAUUGGGCGUAAAGAGCGUGUAGGCGGCCCGAUAAGUCCGCUGUGAAAGUCCAGGGCUCAACCCUGGGAUGCCGGUGGAUACUGUCGGGCUCGAGUCCGGAAGAGGAGUGUGGAAUUCCUGGUGUAGCGGUGAAAUGCGCAGAUAUCAGGAGGAACACCAAUGGCGAAGGCAGCACUCUGGGACGUGACUGACGCUGAGAGACGAAAGCUAGGGGAGCGAAAGGG
rnacentral:rRNA from 1 species